GCUGGAUUCGCUAGUAAUCGCGCAUCAGCCAUGGCGCGGUGAAUACGUUCCCGGGCCCUUGUACACACCGCCCGUCAAGCCAUGGGAGCCGGGGGGUGGCUUGAAGCCGGUGGCCCAAUCGAAAGAAGGGAGCCGUCGAAGGCAGGCCGGAUGACUGGGGUGAAGUCGUAACAAGGUACC
rnacentral:rRNA from 1 species